UGCACAAUGUUUCCCGUAUUAUCCCGCCCACUGAGCCCUCUUCUUGAAAAAACAUCUGGAAUUACAAACAGCAUUCUAGCUGGUUCAUCAUUGCAAGAAGUCUAAAUAUCCUCUCUCCCACUACUUGUGCACCAACAAGAAAACAAAGGCUGACCAGCAGGUUAAACGCCAGGACUCCCACCACUCUCAGGGAUUGUGAACUUUGACCACCUGCCCACUGUGGAGAAGUGCUUAGCUGCUAAUCCUUGGGAUCUGAAGGAAAACUCUCCGAGGGCCCCUCUUUUCAUGUCAUCACAACGCCUCUAACCAGUGUGAGCUCAAGCGCCUGGUUGAUGUGGUGAGCUGGCAGAGCAAGUCAGAACAUGGGAGGGAGACAUUUAUCAUCCUCUCUCUGGACUACAGCCUCCAGUGGAAAUCAUGUGGACAGGACAGACAGCACAGACAGAGAGUGGAAAAGAAAUCAUUGAUGUUUUUCAUAAUUAGGGAACCAUUGGUUUUGUGUUUUUUUUUUCAUGAGUUUAGUUUGAGUUUACAAAUGGCUGUAUUUUUGUAGUCUCGUUAAGUUCUGUACAUUAUGUGCUGCCUGUCUGUCACAUAGGAAAGAAGAUGUAUGGACAUCUAGACAGCAAACAGUUGCCAAGUUCCCACUCUCCACAGAAGGUUUCUCAUGUAUCAUCCUCUGCCCUUUUUCAGGAGCUAUCUCUGUCUGGUUUUCUGUCAUUCGUCCUGAGAUGCUCUCUGUCUUGCUGAAUGGUAGUACACACAAAGGUACUGUACACUGCGUUAAGCGUCUUUUGGCCUGCCCAGGGUAGAUUCCCCCUUCAAAACAUUGUGAUAAUGUUGAAGUCCUAAAUCAUACCCAGAUGAGUGUCAAGUGCAUACAUUGAGCUCUUGUCUGUACAAAGCAAGCUCAAUCUGUCCUAUACACACACAAGACACUGAUGGAUCAUUCUAGUCACAGAAGUGAGUGCCAUUGCUUGGAUUAUGCACAUGGCCUAAUUUCAGACCCAUUAGUAUCAAGGAUUUUGAGUCUUCCCUGCGUACUGACUUUUGUAUUUUAAAGCUUGUCACACUAGAGAGUCUUUACAACAUUAAGUAGCAGAAUAGUAUACACUUAAGCUCUUCAGGUUCACAGAGAGGGCACUUUUUGUUGCAUCUGCUGCCCACAUUUCUAUAUAUAUAUUUUUUUAACUCUCUGCCUUUGCACUAGAAAGUCCUCUAAACGUACAAUAACUUGUUUGAAAAUAGGGGGCUAUAUAUUUUUUCUACAAUAACUGUAGAACCAAAUGUAAAUCAGAUAUAAAAUACCCAAAGAGUUAUACGUUCAUAUAGCUUGGUCAAAAUAUACAUGUUCUACAUCUUCAUGGGCCAUAUUUUUUGGACCUGAGAAAUUACCAGCAGAAAGCCUCCCACCUGUUGCUCUGGUGGUACAGAUGUCCAGAGAGUGGCAUGGUGGGGGGGGGGGGGGCAUCACUCUGGCCACUGAUUGAUGACGACAGGUCCCGCAGGAAGUAACCCAGCCACCAUGAGGGAGUGUUUUCUGAACCCCAAGCGGUAUCCAGGAAAACAAGAGUGACUCCAGUCAUUGAGCAUUUGUACUGGGGGGCAUCUUAAUGUUUGGAUAUGCCGAGUCACUGUGGGCUUCACAGGAUAGGAGUAAGGAAUUAACCCUUCUAAAAUAGGGCUUAGGGAGUCUUUCCAGAUACUUGGUCAAAAGCCUGUAGAUAGGGAAUUAUCAAUCCUCUGCUACAUGAAUGCAUAAGUAGUUGAUGAUUCACCUUUGAAUUUGAGCGUCUGAGUUUGUGAUAUUCUUAGAUUUUUUUUAACAGCUAAACUAUGUUUUCGUACAAUAGAGAAAUUGAGUUUCAGAAGCCUGUGAACAGUCUUAGAACUAAGAUAAACCAUGGUCUGAUUUAAAUCUUAUGGGCAAGAGACUAGAUUUGAGAUGGAAUCCCUCUUCAUGAAAUCAGGGGAAUAAUGGUAACACUCACUUUACAUUUGCUGCAACCCUAUUACAGUAAAAGGUCAAAACCUAAACACAAGUCUUACAUUGAAGCAGCAGAAGUUGGUAGAUGUGUUUUCUGGCACUGAAAAGCAGCUGAAUGUCACUUACAGUGUUCACAUAACAUUAAGAGAAUUUUAAGAGAGAAAGAUGGUUUGUAUGGAACUUGUUCAACACUGAAGAAUACAGAAAUGAAAUAUCAAGGUUAGAUGUACUUGAUUAAGUCAAUGUUUUGUCUCUCUGUCUCUAACUCUGUCUCUGUCUCUCUUUCUCUCUCUCACACACUCUUUCACCCUCUCUCUCUCUCUCUCACACACACACACACACACACACACACACACACACACACACACACACACACACACACACACACACAUUCAACAUGGAAUUGUGAUGGCAUUGGUUGUCAGAAUUAACAAUUGUCUAUUGUUCUUGAUCAGACAAACAUGGAAAUACACAUAGAAAUUCCUUUUCACCUCAGCAACACACCUGGUCAUUGAUUGGUCCUCUCUCAUCGAGAGUUCUCUGGGGUUGAUUUGCGUAACUGGAAACUGUGUCAACAGAUGCAGGAGACCGCUGGUCAGGUGGAUUAGGCCUAAUGGUGAUCCUAUCUAUCUCUGGACUGUAGUCUGGGCCAUGUAAAAAUCGGCACUGUAAACGUCUCUUAUCUGAGGUAAUUUUCCUCAACUAAUCUCUGGAAAGACGUAUUUUGACGACCCAUUUAAAAUCAAAUGAAACUAAUUUAAACUGGUUUUCCUCGCUUUUUCACUUUGUGGCAGCGCAGUGUAAGUCUUUGAAUGUGUAAAACUCAGUAAACCCAAUACCCCAUAUUUGUAAGGAUUUUGAAGUUGCAUUAUUUGUAAAGAGAUUGAGCUUAUUAUUGUCCCAAAAGCAAUCUACUCACUGGCAUAGCUUGCAGGGGCACCUGCAUUUCUCAUGGAACCGCUACUUUCCCCAUGUUGCUUGAAUUCGAUAGACGGAAUAAAUUCUAUGAAAUACUA